rnacentral:misc_RNA from 1 species
AGUUCCUGUCGACUCAGUCACAAGGACGGACAACAGCACGUACUGUCUCCCCCGGACCGCAAAGUCGCCGAAAACACCCUGACUGCUCCCAACUCUAACUUACACUACAUGCCGUACAGCCGCCCUGAGAACAACAUGUUCAUCCAUGGACACAAAUCCCCGGCCCCGUUCUCCCCCGUGUCCUGUCAGUUCCCUUUCCCGGCCUGCUACGGUCCUAUGUCCGCCUCCAGCAGUGUCUGGGAUCAGAUGGACCUCCAGCAAAGAACACGCCUCCUGACACAGCUAAUGACAGAGCAAGCGGAACAGAACCAAGCGCUCUCCAGACCCAGCUGUCAGAACCAAACGCUCUCAAGACCCAGCUGUCAGUACAUGGAUAGACAGACCCAGGGGAUGCCACAGUUCCCGACAUCCUGUAGUGUCCCCUCACUGACCCUUUCUGGACCCUCACUGACUGUGCCUGGCGGAUUGGGAUUUUGAAAUCCGUUAUGAUUCCACACUCUUUGACUAAAGAUAACAUCAUGCUCAGAUAUUCAGUGACAUUUGAGACAAUCACAAUUUAUACUUAUUAAUGAAUAGUGUUUAGAGUUCCAUCACAGUGUACAAGGAGUUUGCAUUUUUAUAUUCAUCUCAGGUGUGCUAUUAUGUUGUAAAUUUUGAAAUAUUGGUGCUAUUCUGUAAAUAAAUUGUGUAGUUAUACGUUGCAUGUUUCCAGUAUAAAGAUAUAAAACA